AAACCAACAGGGAUUGCCUUAGUAGCGGCGAGUGAAGCGGCAAAAGCUCAAAUUUGAAAUCUGGCGCCUUCGGUGUCCGAGUUGUAAUUUGAAGAUUGUAACCUUGGGGUUGGCUCUUGUCUAUGUUUCUUGGAACAGGACGUCACAGAGGGUGAGAAUCCCGUGCGAUGAGAUGCCCAAUCCUAUGUAAGGUGCUUUCGAAGAGUCGAGUUGUUUGGGAAUGCAGCUCUAAGUGGGUGGUAAAUUCCAUCUAAAGCUAAAUAUUGGCGAGAGACCGAUAGCGAACAAGUACAGUGAUGGAAAGAUGAAAAGAACUUUGAAAAGAGAGUGAAAAAGUACGUGAAAUUGUUGAAAGGGAAGGGUUUGAGAUCAGACUCGAUAUUUUGUGAGCCUUGCCUUCGUGGCGGGGUGACCCGCAGCUUAUCGGGCCAGCAUCGGUUUGGGCGGUAGGAUAAUGGCGUAGGAAUGUGACUUUACUUCGGUGAAGUGUUAUAGCCUGCGUUGAUGCUGCCUGCCUAGACCGAGGACUGCGAUUUUAUCAAGGAUGCUGGCAUAAUGAUCCCAAACCGC
rnacentral:rRNA from 3 species